AACGAACGCUGGCGGCAUGCCUAACACAUGCAAGUCGAACGAGACCUUCGGGUCUAGUUGCGCACGGGUGCGUAACGCGUGGGAACCUGCCCUUAGGUUCGGAAUAACUCCCCGAAAGGGGUGCUAAUACCGGAUCAUCUCUUCGGACCAAAGAUUUAUCGCCUUUGGAUGGGGCCGCGUUGGAUUAGCUAGUUGGUAGGGUAAAAGCCUACCAAGGCGACGAUCCAUAGCUGGUCUGAGAGGAUGAUCAGCCACACUGGGACUGAGACACGGCCCAGCCUCCUACGGGAGGGAGCAGUGGGGAAUAUUGGGCAAUGAGCGAAAGCCUGAUCCAGCAAUGCCGCGUGAGUGAUGAAGGCCUUAGGGUUGUAAAGCUCUUUUACCCGGGAUGAUAAUGACAGUACCGGGAGAAUAAGCUCCGGCUAACUCCGUG
rnacentral:rRNA from 1 species